GACAGAGGGUGCAAACGUUGUUCGGAAUUACUGGGCGUAAAGCGUGUGUAGGCGGCUUUGUAAGUCGGAUGUGAAAUCCCCGGGCUCAACCCGGGAAGUGCACUCGAUACUGCGGAGCUAGAGUGUCGGAGAGGUUGGUGGAAUUCUCGGUGUAGAGGUGAAAUUCGUAGAUAUCGAGAGGAACACCGGUGGCGAAGGCGGCCAACUGGACGAACACUGACGCUGAGACACGAAAGCGUGGGUAGCAAACAGG
rnacentral:rRNA from 1 species